rnacentral:rRNA from 1 species
CACACCGCCCGUCACACCACGAAAGUCUGCAACACCCGAAGCCGGUGAGCUAACUCGUAAGAGAGGCAGCCGUCGAAGGUGGGGCCGAUGAUUGGGGUG